rnacentral:rRNA from 1 species
GCAGUCGCCGCGGGAAUACGGAGGGUGCAAGCGUUAAUCGGAAUUACUGGGCGUAAAGCGCACGCAGGCGGUUUGUCAAGUCAGAUGUGAAAUCCCCGAGCUUAACUUGGGAACUGCAUUUGAAACUGGCAAGCUAGAGUCUUGUAGAGGGGGGUAGAAUUCCAGGUGUAGCGGUGAAAUGCGUAGAGAUCUGGAGGAAUACCGGUGGCGAAGGCGGCCCCCUGGACAAAGACUGACGCUCAGGUGCGAAAGCGUGGGGAGCAAACAGGAUUAGAUACCCCUGUAGUCCCUGUCUCUUAUAC